rnacentral:tRNA from 1 species
AACUCUGUGGUGAAAUUCAUGUCAAAUUGCAAAUCUGAAGAUACACUUUUAUCGGUGUCAGGGUU